ACUCAAAGGAAUUGACGGGGGCCCGCACAAGCGGUGGAGCAUGUGGUUUAAUUCGAUGCAACGCGAAGAACCUUACCAGGUCUUGACAUCUGUGGAACCUUUACGAAAGUAGAGGGUGCCUUUUAGGAGCCACAAGACAGGUGGUGCAUGGUUGUCGUCAGCUCGUGUCGUGAGAUGUUGGGUUAAGUCCCGCAACGAGCGCAACCCUUGCUAUUAGUUGCUAACAUUUUAGGUGAGCACUCUAAUGGGACUGCCUGUGACAAGCAGGAGGAAGGUGGGGAUGACGUCAAAUCAUCAUGCCCUUUAUGAUCUGGGCUACACACGUGCUACAAUGGAUGGUACAAAGAGGAGCAAAACCGCGAGGUCAAGCGAAUCUCAUAAAGCCAUUCUCAGUUCGGAUUGGAGUCUGCAACUCGACUCCAUGAAGUCGGAAUCGCUAGUAAUCGCGAAUCAGAAUGUCGCGGUGAAUGCGUUCCCGGGCCUUGUACACACCGCCCGU
rnacentral:rRNA from 1 species